CGUAACGCAUUAAGUUACCCCGCCUCGGGGAGUACGGCCGCAAGGCUAAAACGUCAAAGGAAUUGAACGGGGGCCCGCGACAAGCGGCGGAGCAUGCGGAUUAAUUCGAUGCAACGCGAAGAACCUUACCAAGGCUUGACAUAUACCGGAAACUUCCAGAAAUGGUUGCCCCGCAAGGUCGGUAUACAGGUGGUGCAUGGUUGUCGUCAGCUCGUGUCGUGAGAUGUUGGGUUAAGUCCCGCAACGAGCGCAACCCCUAUCCUAUGUUGCCAGCACGUCAUGGUGGGGACUCAUGGGAGACUGCCGGGGUCAACUCGGAGGAAGGUGGGGACGACGUCAAAUCAUCAUGCCCCUUAUGUCUUGGGCUUCACGCAUGCUACAAUGGCCGGUACAAUGGGUUGCGAUACUGUGAGGUGGAGCUAAUCCCUAAAAGCCGGUCUCAGUUCGGAUCGAAGUCUGCAACUCGACUUCGUGAAGUUGGAGUCGCUAGUAAUCGCAGAUCAGCAACGCUGCGGUGAAUACGUUCCCGGGUCGACGCGGCCG
rnacentral:rRNA from 1 species